GCAUGCAAACAUCAUCGGUUUAUCUCCAAAACAAAAAACCUAUUUUUAUUAAAAACAAAGUUCUUCUUUUUCUGUGUUAACUACCAUGGCUUUGGCAACAUUACGAAUAUUUCGUAUGGCGAUAAUUGUUUUUAAGGAAUUUACUGAACCUGUUAAAAGACUGUUCGUAAAUAUCGCACAACACAACGAUUUUUUUCGCAAUUACAUAUGCAAACCACCGGCUUAUGGUUACCGCUGGUGUGAAGAUUCUCUGCUGAUGCUGUUAACUAAGGAAACUGCUAAAAACUAUAAGCCACUAGGAGAGGAAGAAGCAAUUAUUUUAGGAUCGGCCAUAUGGGCGGAAGUGGUUGUUUUUAUAUGCUGUUCCGAAGUAGUGCUUAUGGAAUCGAAGCGGCAAGCGAAGAAGGAAGAAGAAGAAGAGCGCUUAAUAACGAAUCGAGUAAAAGAUUUGCACGAAGCAAUGGGAGUUUUACAACGUCGGCUAAAUGAGCAAUAUUUUUACAUUGAACAAAUCAUUGAAGCUUUGAAAAAACUUGGUGAGAGAGACGAGACAUCCUGCUUCACUUCCCAUCGAGGUUUGAACGGCUCUUUCGUUCCAUUAUAGGCAGGCCGAUCGAACGUCGGCAAGUUACCCAAAGAACGCACGCAACAGAUAAGAGUUUUGUGCAAAAACUCGCUUAAUUUUCACGCUAUAGUGCAAAAUAAUUUAAAUAAUAAGAACUUUUGGUAUUCAAGUGGGUUUUUAAAUUAGCCAAAUGUUUGUUUAACCACCAUGAGUUUCUCCAUCAAUUAUGCUUUUCAAUAUUUUGUCAUAUGGAAAUUUCAAUAUUUUCAUAUUUCUAAGCUAUAUUUCACACUAAAUUAUUCUCAACCAAAAUGUUACAUAUAACACUGCCAAUCUUGAAGUUGUCUUUGUUGGGAAUACAACAACUGUCAAGUCAUGUUAGCAAAUUCAUACGCAUGGAAGCAAAACAAAGCAAAACCUUUAGAAAUUACAUGUGUGUGCCUGCUGCUCAGUGUUAUCACUGGCUAGACGUGAAAAUAAAGCUGUUGCUUUUAAAUAUGGGCCGACACGUUAAGGUGGCGCCACUCAACGAGGCAGUAGCCACCGAAUUGGGCGCCGAAGUUUUGGGUGAAUUUAUAGUAUUUGUUACUGCAAGCACAGCAAUAAUUUUUGAAACAAACAGGCAAUCAACGAAAAAAAAUAUUGAAGCCUUGAGCGUGAAUAUGCAUCAUAAGGAUAUAAUUGAAGCGAUGGAAGUGUUAAAAUACCGACAGGAACAACAGAAUGCAUACGUUCAAGAGAUCACACGAGCGUUGGCGGCAUUAGCCGAUUUUAAAAUAUCUGUCAUAACAAGAGACAAGUCAUUAAAAGUCAGGUUGGAUAAAACAGAGAACGAGUAACAGAAUACGGUGUAUUUGACCUGCAUUUCCCAAAAUUCCCGCUGCCUUCGCGAAGAAUGAAAACCGACUUAAGCAUUGAUGACAAUUCCAACCCAAAAAUGGAGAUAUCCCUAUUUACCAGCUGAAGGAGAAAGUGGGGCCAGCACUGAACGUGUAGAUGGUGGAUUUAAAAUAUCAACCGUUAAUUAAGGUACUGACAGGCACAUUCGAAAUUCUCCAGCCCUUGUCUAGCACUACAAAGACAAACAUCAAACUACGCAGCAAAAAUAGCCACCUGUUGUUGUUGUAAGAGUUUGUUGGAUAGUGUUUUGGGCGCAAAGUGCUGUUACAAUAGAAUCCACAACAACUAACUUUAAAUAAAAUGUUCAAAAGGUAAACCAAUUCACGUAAAGGAAACUAAAAGCAAGGAAUUUAAAGAAAAAUCGAAAUAAUAUACCUAUGUGAGUGAGAUAUAUGCAAC